CCUAACACAUGCAAGUCGAGCGGCAGCACAGAGGAACUUGUUCCUUGGGUGGCGAGCGGCGGACGGGUGAGUAAUGCCUAGGAAAUUGCCCUGAUGUGGGGGAUAACCAUUGGAAACGAUGGCUAAUACCGCAUGAUGCCUACGGGCCAAAGAGGGGGACCUUCGGGCCUCUCGCGUCAGGAUAUGCCUAGGUGGGAUUAGCUAGUUGGUGAGGUAAUGGCUCACCAAGGCGACGAUCCCUAGCUGGUCUGAGAGGAUGAUCAGCCACACUGGAACUGAGACACGGUCCAGACUCCUACGGGAGGCAGCAGUGGGGAAUAUUGCACAAUGGGCGCAAGCCUGAUGCAGCCAUGCCGCGUGUAUGAAGAAGGCCUUCGGGUUGUAAAGUAC
rnacentral:rRNA from 1 species